CGAACAUCAAAGGGGUGCCGAUGCAUCAGGCCGUACCAAGACGGCGCAUGCGGGAAGAAGGCUGAGAUUAUACCCUCAAACCUGACGCAGACAAUGCUGCCGCAGGAAUUGAUCUCAAUGUUAUC
rnacentral:ncRNA from 1 species